rnacentral:lncRNA from 1 species
AAAACAGAAGAAUCGGAAUCUCUAAGAAUUUUAUGCAAAGGGGAAGUGGGUAGGACUUGGGAUGCAUAAGAAACAAGGGCGAAAUAGGUAUAGAAAAUGAGAAAAUUUACUUACCUUAGUCCCUGGAGUGUGGACAAAAUGAUGACCGGCAAUUGGAGAACGACGAUCGUCGUCGACGAUUUGAGAGAAACUAAAGGAGAUAGAUUAGGGCUUGGGUCGGCUAGACGAGAGAGAGA